UACGGGGGGAGCAAGCGUUGUUCGGAUUUACUGGGCGUAAAGGGCGCGUAGGCGGCCAUAUAAGUCGGGGGUGAAAUCCUGGAGCUCAACUCCAGAACUGCCUUUGAUACUGAGGAUCUUGAGUUCGGGAGAGGUGAGUGGAACUGCGAGUGUAGAGGUGAAAUUCGUAGAUAUUCGCAAGAACACCAGUGGCGAAGGCGGCUCACUGGCCCGAUACUGACGCUGAGGCACGAAAGCGUGGGGAGCAAACAGG
rnacentral:rRNA from 1 species